rnacentral:rRNA from 1 species
ACCACAACGGGUGGAGCUGCGGUUUAAUUGGACUCAACGCCGGGCAGCUCACCGGAUAAGACAGCUGGAUGAUAGCCGGGCUGAAGACUCUGCCUGACUAGCUGAGAGGAGGUGCAUGGCCGUCGUCAGUUCGUACUGUGAAGCAUCCUGUUAAGUCAGGCAACGAGCGAGACCCACGCCAACAGUUGCCAGCAUGUCCUCCGGGAUGAUGGGGACACUGUUGGGACCGCCUCUGCUAAAGAGGAGGAAGGAAUGGGCAACGGUAGGUCAGCAUGCCCCGAAUUAUCCGGGCUACACGCGGGCUACAAUGGUCAGGACAAUGGGUAUCGACACCGAGAGGUGGAGGCAAUCUCGAAACCCAAUCGUAGUUCGGAUUGAGGGUUGUAACUCACCCUCAUGAAGCUGGAUUCCGUAGUAAUCGCUUGUCAACAUCAAGCGGUGAAUAUGCCCCUGCUCCUU